rnacentral:lncRNA from 1 species
AACCACAAAACGACGUCGUUUAACAAAAACUGAAGACACUAAAUCUCAAAAUCGAUUCAUAAUUCACAAUCUAACUCCCUAACCCUAGAAAAUCCACAAAUUCUAUUUACUUCUUGCUGAAUUGUUGCCAUAGCGCGGACCCGUGGAGGAAGAAAACGACUUCCAACGUCGGUUUGUCAUCUAAGAAAUAUGGUCAUUUAGGCUAAACAGAAGUAGCUCACAGAUAGUUAACCACAUCUUCAAGUUUUUAACAAAAAUUAAAUGUCAUGCUGAAAUAAGUGAAGUCAACAAAACAUAGCUAUUUUACAGAAAAGUCAACAAAACUUUGUGAUUAAAAUGACUUCUUUAAAGUUCAGGAUUAAAUCGUCUCAAAUUUGAAAGUUCGGGAUUUUUAUGA